rnacentral:lncRNA from 1 species
UUUAACGUCACGAGCCUGACCUAAACCUGUUUAGCACUUGUUAGUAAGUGUGAAUCCUACCAACACCCAUCAGUAGGUGUGCCUUCCCAUUAUCCUUCAGUGGAUACCAAAAGUUAGCAUCCCUCAGUAGAUGCUACCCAAAAAUUGUUCAAAUGUCCACAGAAUUACAAGUUAAAAAAAUGAAAUAAACCUAAGCUAAAAAUAAAAAAUAAAAAAAAAAUAUGCUACAACAAUU